rnacentral:rRNA from 1 species
GUGUCAGCAGCCGCGGUAAUACAGAGGGUGCAAGCGUUAAUCGGAGUUACUGGGCGUAAAGGGCGCGUAGGCGGAUAUGUAAGUGAGAUGUGAAAGCCCUGGGCUUAACCUAGGAACUGCAUCUUAUACUGCGUAUCUAGAGUAUUGUAGAGGGUAGUGGAAUUUCCGGUGUAGCGGUGAAAUGCGUAGAGAUCGGAAGGAACACCAGUGGCGAAGGCGGCUACCUGGACAAAUACUGACGCUGAGGCGCGAAAGCGUGGGGAUCAAACAGGAUUAGAAACCCUGGUAGUCC